rnacentral:rRNA from 1 species
AUGAGGCGAACCGGGGGAACUGAAACAUCUAAGUACCCCGAGGAAAAGAAAUCAACCGAGAUUCCCCCAGUAGCGGCGAGCGAACGGGGAGGAGCCCAGAGCCUGAAUCAGUGUGUGUGUUAGUGGAAGCGUCUGGAAAGGCGCGCGAUACAGGGUGACAGCCCCGUACACAAAAAUGCACAUGCUGUGAGCUCGAUGAGUAGGGCGGGACACGUGGUAUCCUGUCUGAAUAUGGGGGGACCAUCCUCCAAGGCUAAAUACUCCUGACUGACCGAUAGUGAACCAGUACCGUGAGGGAAAGGCGAAAAGAACCCCGGCGAGGGGAGUGAAAAAGAACCUGAAACCGUGUACGUACAAGCAGUGGGAGCACGCUUAGGCGUGUGACUGCGUACCUUUUGUAUAAUGGGUCAGCGACUUAUAUUCUGUAGCAAGGUUAACCGAAUAGGGGAGCCGAAGGGAAACCGAGUCUUAACUGGGCGUUAAGUUGCAGGGUAUAGACCCGAAACCCGGUGAUCUAGCCAUGGGCAGGUUGAAGGUUGGGUAACACUAACUGGAGGACCGAACCGACUAAUGUUGAAAAAUUAGCGGAUGACUUGUGGCUGGGGGUGAAAGGCCAAUCAAACCGGGAGAUAGCUGGUUCUCCCCGAAAGCUAUUUAGGUAGCGCCUCGUGAAUUCAUCUCCGGGGGUAGAGCACUGUUUCGGCAAGGGGGUCAUCCCGACUUACCAACCCGAUGCAAACUGCGAAUACCGGAGAAUGUUAUCACGGGAGACACACGGCGGGUGCUAACGUCCGUCGUGAAGAGGGAAACAACCCAGACCGCCAGCUAAGGUCCCAAAGUCAUGGUUAAGUGGGAAACGAUGUGGGAAGGCCCAGACAGCCAGGAUGUUGGCUUAGAAGCAGCCAUCAUUUAAAGAAAGCGUAAUAGCUCACUGGUCGAGUCGGCCUGCGCGGAAGAUGUAACGGGGCUAAACCAUGCACCGAAGCUGCGGCAGCGACACUAUG